GACAAUAGACAGAGAAGGAUGUGUGUGAUAUUCCUCUCAGUUCUGGAAAGUGACAACUUCGCUUCCCGUGAUGCUGUCUAGAGUUCCUCACUUGCUCUGAAAUCACCCUGUCCCUGUCUGCUUAGCAUUUAGACUCGAUUGAUUCUUUUUGGGGAGAAGCGGGGGAGGCUUUUAGGGUCGUCCUUGGUGUUUCUUUCUUAAAUAUAAUUAGAUGCGCCUCAUUACCUCCACUGAAGGACUUUUGUGCUUUCUGAGCAGUGUCUCUAGAGAUCUUAGACGAGCCACAGCUUGUCCUAUUCUCUUUGCAUUUGAUCAUAUUAGCAGGUUUUUUUUUUUUCUUCCUCUUGACACAUUUGUACUCUGUGUUCGCUCUCCCUCAGAUAUCUGGAGUUGAUUUUGCUGGUUUGAAAGGCCACACCCAGGGAGCGUGUCUGGGGCCUCCUUGGGAUGAAGGGACUGUAUUCCGCAGGCCCUUCCCAGUUUCCCUGAACGUUUUCCCCCCCUCUGGACACUUUGUUAACAAGGCUGUGCUCUAGUGUGCUCCAGGGUCAGGGCCUCUGGUUCUCUAUAAAACCCAGACGAACAACUAUAUCACAUGAAACUCAGAGGCAGUCCCCGGGGAACAUGCUGUGGCUACUGUUCUGAGGCCAACCACCGAGGCCCAGACAACUCGCUAGGCACAUAGACACAGGUUUGGCUCAAGUCACAACGUGGCUCCGUACGUAUCCACUUGUGCCCAGAAAGGUGCUGUCUGGGAACUGGAGGCACAGGGCUGUCACACAUCUGUGUGGAGAGGGAAACCAAAUUCUACACGCCCUUCACUUCUGUAAGAUUUGGGAAUGGUGUCGGGGUGGAAACCACUUAAAAUAACUGAAACAUCCAAUCCUUGUUUAUUUAUUUUGCUUCCUUCACUGGGCCUUGUUCUGAAAACAAACUAAUGCUCUGAGUUCCGGGAUACAACAAUUCUUAAGAGUGUGGGUGUCUUCCAGGCCUUCAACAGAGUUGAAGACUGGCCUGAGGCUAGGAGGACCUCUCUCCUCCAGCCAAGAACACCAAGACGGAAAAUGCUUUGGACUGAAUUUUUUAUUAUUUAUUGAUUUAGCCUGUAGUUCUUUCUUUCUCUCUUCUUGAGCCUCCAUGCACUUUGCUAAUUACUCCUCUGGAAGCCAUCUCCCUUUCCACUCGCCAGCAUGCUUCCACCUUCGGGAAGAACUGCGGUAGUGUGGUGGACGGACAACAGCCAGGCAUCAAGAAAUGUCUUCUCACUGAAGGGCUGGUCCCACCCUCCCCAUAGUCAUCUAAUGUACCUCGAAGGCAGUGAUGUAAUAAUGAGAAACGGCACCGGUCCCCCCAUCUGAGCAAUCCUUUCACAGACACAGCAGACAGGAAUCUGCAACUGAAUAGAGGAGACAUCCACAGACACUUCCAUGGGAAGCAGUACUAACCAGAACAUCAUGGGAGUCAUGUUGGCUGUUAAGUUAUGGAGGCACAAAAAAGAAGCCCUGUUCUGGAUAAGGGAUGCCUGGAGCAGCCUUAAGACCGCGCCUCACCAGCCUACUUCUAUAUAUAUACUUCUACUUCUACUGUGUAUACUAGAACAGUCUUCCAAAUGAGUAGAACGUCAGGUGGAAUCUGUGGACGGAUAGCUUCUGCCAAUUGCUUCUGGCACCAAACUCUAACAUUCCUAGUCUGAGUGGAAUUUAUCUUCUCUUUUCCCAUGCUCUCUUCUCAAACACUUGUUGGCCAUUUUCUAUUUCAGAUCAAGUGUAACAACCAAUGUUAAAAAUUUAUUUAUCUAUUACAUGAUCCCCUAAUCCUUCUCUUCUGAGGCAUUGUUCUCUUGAUAUACUUCUAAACUUGUUAUGUUCAUCCUCAAAUGUA